ensembl:snoRNA
AGAUGACCUUCUCUGGAGUCGCUGCACCUCCUUGAUGAGAGCACAUUUGAACCUUUUUCCAUCUGAUGAAAAAGAAAGUUUCAU